AGGGUAAGAAGAACAAAAGGCUGUUCUGGGUACCUGCAAUUGCGCCGUUGAUUUCUGUCAUUCUUUCCACCUUCUUUGUCUACAUUACUCAUGCUGAAAAAAAGGGAGUCGCGAUUGUAAGUGCUUGUUUUAGGUGCCUCCUACUUUCAUUAAAAAAUUUCUAUUGGAACAUAAUGAUCAAUUUUUAAUCAUUUCUAUGACAACCUUACCAGGUAGGACACAUUGAGAAAGGAAUAAAUCCUCCUUCAGUCAAGGAAAUAUAUUUCACUGGUGACUAUCUCUUAAAAGGGCUUAGGACUGGUAUUGUAGCUGGCAUGAUUGCAUUGACGGUAAGCAAAUUAUUUAAUGAAAUGUUGAAGUAGGAAACCUUGAAAUUUUUCCAAUCGAUAUCCGAUGUUUACCUUGUGUUUCAUAGGAAGCUGUUGCAAUUGGAAGAACCUUUGCUUCAAUGAAGGACUACCAGUUGGACGGAAACAAAGAGAUGGUGGCACUUGGAGCUAUGAAUAUUGUUGGCUCAAUGACUUCCUGCUAUGUAGCAACAGGUAAGACAUAUGUACAAGAAAAUGGAGUUUGAGUAAACAUUAAUGUAUUUUAAACUUUCAACACAUAGGUUUCAUUUUUAAGCAGCCAAAUGCAUCAAUAUCAAAUCAUCUAAUUAUCUUUCAUCUGAUGCGCUAUCAUAUGUGGAUGUGUUAUGCUCCAUUAUCGGCCCAACCUAAUGAUGUAACAGGAAUUCUUCACUAAUAUAACUAUACUAUUCAGUUAUUUCUGUCAUUUAUAAUGGUUUGUCCAACUUAUCGAUCAACUAACCUCGUGCAGGUUCCUUCUCUCGCUCAGCUGUAAAUUACACGGCUGGCUGCCAAACUGCAUUUUCCAACAUUGUCAUGUCUGUCGUUGUGUUCCUAACUUUGGAAUUCAUAACCCCUCUUUUUAAGUAU
rnacentral:lncRNA from 1 species